rnacentral:lncRNA from 1 species
UUUCCGUGAGGAUCUUUUCAUUCAGCACAUACAUGUGUUGAGUUCUUCUUGUGUUUAGAAGUAAGAGGUGCAGCAUGCCGGACGUCCUUGCGGGAGUAGUCGAGGAGUAUCUCCGUAGCGAUUUGGAUGUACAGAGUUUAUGAUAUAGAGACCUUUUUUGUACUGACUAUUUAGUUUUCUCCUUCAGGUGCCUUGUUCUUACAGGAUUUCAGAGAGUAUGGACCACCGUAUGGCCGAAGAAGAUGCCAUUCUUGACUGUCAUUGUCCUUAGUGUGUUGCUGCUAUUUUCCUGGACGGUAAUCUGUGCACUGCCGAGACCUCGGUCUGACCAAUGUAGGGGCCUUCUGAUCAAUUGUCCGCAGUCGUUGGAAUAUUUUUCUCCAUGCCCGUUUUGUCGCUCAAAUUUCUGAUUUUAUCUAGGUAGGAGUUCUGAUGAAUUUACUCUUCUCCAUCAUGCGUUCUGAGGGUAGAAUUUCAUGGUAGUUCUCCGAAGCUGCUUGGCAAGAAAAUGAUUGCACUUCUCAACUGACCAGUUAUGAGAUUUUUGUGCACCAUGUUUUGUCGAUUCACCUAAUGCAGGCAGUAGUCAUUUAUUAGAGAACAUGUUUCCUAAAGGACGAGAAAGUAAAUUGAACGUGUGCAUUAUUUUUAUUCCUUCUUCAAAAGGUUUAGAUGUAAAUUACAAUUUGUUCAAGGUGGGGAACAAUAAAUUGGAUGGUAUUGCUUUGAAUUUAAUUCAAUUUAGAGAACAAUGUUUAGUGUCAUAUUUCUAUUAUUUUUUCAUUUGCUUUGCACAAGAUUACUAAUUAAAGAACCCCUUAUGUUCAGAAUUAUAAGAUGUUCUAACGUUUUUCUGAUUCGGAUGUAUAUAGACGCAUUUUAAUGUGCUUGCUCACUCAUUCGGUAUGUAUGUAGUCCAUAUUGAAAUAUCUUAUAAUGGUGACGGAGGGUUUACUGUACUGGAAUAUGCGCCAGAUAGAGUCGCCUCCGCCGAGUCUGAUGUGCCUGCCAAGAAGAUGGGUUCAAGCAUGGCUGAUGUGUUGCGAGCAAAAUCAUGGGCAUGCCCGACUAUCCUCCUUCAGGGUGCCUUGAAUUUUUGGAAUAUCAAACUGGAAUCAAGUAGCAAUACACUAUUGUCCAUAUCAAAGACCAAUGAAUUGCAUUUUGUUUUUUUUUACUCGUUGUACAAGAGUAUUUGCUUCUCUUAAAAAUUAUGUAAGUUGCUAGCUUCAUGUUAGGCUCAUCGAUUCUUUUAAUUGUGUGGUAUGUUGUCAAAUUUUUGUUGUUUGAUUUAUGUUUUUGUCGUAACAUCAGCCUUCCAUACGUCUAAUUGAUGUUUGGAUGAAAUACAAAAUAGAGGGCAUGCACUCAGAUAGAUUUGGUAUAAAAAUAUUCCGAAGACAUGGAU